UGAUACAUACAUGUUGGUCACCAUACUUCCUUCAUUUAUAUUAUGACUAUUGAGUAAAUUUUUGCAAACAUGGCAAACCUGUACAUGUACAUGCUGUUUAUAUACACCACAUCUUCCUAUAUCUAUAUAUUACUACAGUUCAAUGACUCAAGUUUUAAAUGCAUAAGCUUAAGGUCAUAACAGAAUUUAAACUAACUAUCAUAAUUGUAUGAACAUCAUGAUGAAUAUUUACAUUCUCUCAAAGAGUUUUAAUUUUACUUAGCUAAUACAGAAGAUGAUGGAUUCCCCAACAGAAAUCUUGAUGAUCGAACAAUUAAGGUGAAAAAAUUGAAGAAUUGCAUCAAUUGUUACAGGGAAUCGAUUUGCAAGCAGAAACAGGUGCUCAAAGAUAAGGGAAUACAACAGCCAUCCAUGAUCCUUUACAUGUAAAGUAAGUAGCUGUUCAUGAUGCUUAUAGGCAUAUACAAUCUAGUCUGGGCAUGUAAAACAGCAGCUGGUUCUAUUUUGAAAAUCUACAAAAUAGAGAUAAGGUCCUUUAAGCCAAGAAACUGCUAGUGUCUGAAGAGGACAAUUUAAGACAGGAC